rnacentral:rRNA from 1 species
CUACGGGGGGCUGCAGUGGGGAAUAUUGGACAAUGGGGGAAACCCUGAUCCAGCAAUGCCGCGUGUGUGAAGAAGGCCUUCGGGUUGUAAAGCACUUUCAGUGGGGAAGAAAUUCUUAAGAUUAAUACUCUUAAGCGUUGACGUUACCCACAGAAGAAGCACUGGCUAACUCUGUGCCAGCAGCCGCGGUGAAUACAGAGAGUGCAAGCGUUAAUCGGAAUUACUGGGCGUAAAGCGCGCGUAGGUGGAUAUUUAAGUCGGAUGUGAAAGCCCUGGGCUUAACCUGGGAAUUGCACCCGAUACUGGAUAUCUAGAGUAUGGUAGAGGAUAGUGGAAUUUCCGGUGUAGCGGUGAAAUGCGUAGAUAUCGGAAAGAACACCAGUAGCGAAGGCGGCUAUCUGGACCAAUACUGACACUGAGGUGUGAAAGCGUGGGGAGCAAACAGGAUUAGAUACCCUAGUAGUC